UACAGAGGGGGCAAGCGUUGUUCGGAAUUAUUGGGCGUAAAGGGCGCGUAGGCGGCCUGUUAAGUCGAACGUGAAAUCCCCGGGCUCAACCCGGGAACUGCGUCCGAUACUGGCAGGCUUGAAUCCGGGAGAGGGAUGCGGAAUUCCAGGUGUAGCGGUGAAAUGCGUAGAUAUCUGGAGGAACACCGGUGGCGAAGGCGGCAUCCUGGACCGGCAUUGACGCUGAGGAGCGAAGGCCAGGGGAGCAAACGGG
rnacentral:rRNA from 1 species